UGGCUGUUGUUAAUGAUGACCUACCUGGUUUAGUUAAGUUUAGUUUGGCUGUUGUUAAUGAUGACCUACCUGGUUUAGUUAAGUUUAGUUUGGCUGUUGUUAAUGAUGACCUACCUGGUUUAGUUAAGUUUAGUUUGGCUGGUGUUAAUGAUGACCUACCUGGUUUAGUUAAGUUUAGUUUGGCUGUUGUUAAUGAUGACCUACCUGGUUUAGUUAACGUGACAAAGUUCUUCUGGUGUUACAAAGUCAACUGCAGCGUGUCUGUGAAGAAGCUGUCCAGAGACAACGCUCAUUUUGAAAACAUCAUCAAAUAUUUCUUCAGCUGGCAACAACCAGAACCACUGUGCAAGGUUUACCACUGACUGUGUUUGACUUGAGGCUCUGCCCUGGAUUUUUAUUUAGAUAUCACACACACACACAUGAAGAUAAACUCAGCUGAUUUCCUGUAAAUAAAGAGGGGAGGAGCAACACUAAGCAGGUGAUCCAGGUCGAGAAGAACAGGGAGGAACUUCAGUUUGUUCAGACUCCAUUUGGAGUGGACGGAGCAGAAAGAGGAAACCUGAAGCUGAGGCAGGACUGACUGAAGUCCAGAAGAUGGAGGAAGAGGAGGACAGAGCAG